UCGUAACAAGGUCUCCGUUGGUGAACCAGCGGAGGGAUCAUUACUGAGUACUACACUCUCUACCCUUUGUGAACUAUUAUACCUGUUGCUUCGGCGGCGCCCGCGAGGGUGCCCGCCGGUCUCAUCAGAAUCUCUGUUUUCGAACCCGACGAUACUUCUGAGUGUUCUUAGCGAACUGUCAAAACUUUUAACAACGGAUCUCUUGGCUCCAGCAUCGAUGAAGAACGCAGCGAAACGCGAUAUGUAAUGUGAAUUGCAGAAUUCAGUGAAUCAUCGAAUCUUUGAACGCACAUGGCGCCUUCCAGUAUCCUGGGAGGCAUGCCUGUCCGAGCGUCGUUUCAACCCUCGAGCCCCUGUGGCCCGGCGUUGGGGAUCUGCCACGGCAGGCCCCUAAAACCAGUGGCGGACCCGAAGGCCCUCUCCUUUGCGCAGUAGCAUCAGCCUCGCAUUGGGAUCCCUCGGCGUCCUGCCUCUAAACCCCCCACAAGUCCGCUCCGGCGGCACCAAGGUUGACCUCGGAUCAGGUAGGAAUACCCGCUGAACCUAAGCAUAUCA
rnacentral:misc_RNA from 1 species